rnacentral:lncRNA from 1 species
GAUGAUGGUAGUUGUAAGAAGUUGUGGUGUUUGAAGAAAAUGUGUGUUUGUGGAGAGUGAAGAGUUUUAUAUAGUUAAAGUAGUGAUGAUGGUGAUGAAGAUGGUUAUGGUUUUUUUUUAGUUGGUUUAAAUGAAGUUGUUGUUGUAGUUUUAACAUAGAGAAUAUGUGUUAGUAAGAAAAUGAGUGAGGUUGUAGAUGUUCAUGAAAGAAAGAAAGGUUGGGCGGUUUGAUGAUGUAGAGAAAGAGUAGAUAUUUUAUGUUUAGAUAUUUUUUGUGGUGUAUGUUGUGAAGGAUGUAGCAGUAAAAAAGGAGAAGAAAAGAAAGAGAGAGAGAGAGAGAGGAAAAAAGAGAAAGAGAGGAAGAAAAUAAACCAAUGAAAAAAGGGGACACGUGAAUAGAAGAGGGAAAGAAGAAAAUAUCUCCAAUCAAAGUCAAGUGUCCUUUAUACAUUGGUCCAAAAAUAAAUAAAUUUUAAUUCAAAAACAAAAAUUUAUAUGGAUUGGUUGAUAAAAAUAUAUUAUCCAUUUUCUAAUUUUACUAAUUAAAAUAAAAUACCUAAACAUAAAUUAAAAUUGAAUCGAGAACAUAGAUAAUUCUAAAUAAAUCUCUCGAUUUUUAUGGCAAUGGAACAAAAAUAAUCAGUCAAAAAU